rnacentral:rRNA from 1 species
UGGGGAAUAUUGCACAAUGGGCGCAAGCCUGAUGCAGCCAUGCCGCGUGUAUGAAGAAGGCCUUCGGGUUGUAAAGUACUUUCAGUCGGGAGGAAGGUGGUAAGGUUAAUAACCUUAUCAAUUGACGUUACCGACAGAAGAAGCACCGGCUAACUCCGUGCCAGCAGCCGCGGUAAUACGGAGGGUGCAAGCGUUAAUCGGAAUUACUGGGCGUAAAGCGCACGCAGGCGGUUGAUUGAGUCAGAUGUGAAAUCCCCGGGCUUAACCCGGGAAUUGCAUCUGAUACUGGUCAGCUAGAGUCUUGUAGAGGGGGGUAGAAUUCCAUGUGUAUCGGUGAAAUGCGUAGGGAUGUGGAGGAAUACCGGUGGCGAAGGCGGCCCCCUGGACAAAGACUGACGCUCAGGUGCGAAAGCGUGGGGAGCAAACAGG